UACGUAGGGGGCAAGCGUUGUCCGGAUUUAUUGGGCGUAAAGAGCGUGUAGGCGGUUAGGUAGGUCCGUUGUGAAAACUCGAGGCUCAACCUCGAGACGCCGAUGGAAACCAUCUGACUAGAGUCCGGAAGAGGAGAGUGGAAUUCCUGGUGUAGCGGUGAAAUGCGCAGAUAUCAGGAGGAACACCAAUAGCGAAGGCAGCUCGCUGGGACGGUACUGACGCUGAGGCGCGAAAGCGUGGGGAGCGAACAGG
rnacentral:rRNA from 1 species